CGUAGGGGGCAAGCGUUGUCCGGAUUUAUUGGGCGUAAAGCGCUCGCAGGUGGUGCGUCACGUCGUGCGUGAAAGACCCCGGCUCAACUGGGGAGGGUCGUGCGAUACGGGCGGACUGGAGGCCAGUAGGGGGAUGCGGAAUUCCGGGUGUAGUGGUGGAAUGCGUAGAGAUCCGGAGGAACACCAGCGGCGAAGGCGGCAUCCUGGACUGGUCCUGACACUCAGGAGCGAAAGCGUGGGGAGCGAUCCGGAUUAGAUACCCGGGUAGUCCACGCUGUAAACGAUGAGCACUAGGUGUCGGGGGUAUCGACCCCCUCGGUGCCGCAGCUAACGCGAUAAGUGCUCCGCCUGGGGACUACGGCCGCAAGGCUA
rnacentral:rRNA from 1 species